AGUGAACGCUAGCGGUAGGCCUAACACAUGCAAGUCGAACGGCAGCACAGUAGUAGCUUGCUCUUACGUGUGGCGAGUGACGGACGGGCGAGAAACAUAUCCAAAUCUCCUUUUUCUUGGGGGAUAACGGAGGGAAACCUACUCUAUUACCCCAUACGAACUACGGGUGAAAGCAGUUGUUCUUCGAACCUCGCCCGAUUGAAUGAGCCGAUGUCGGGUUUGCUAGUUGGCGGGGUAAAGGCCCACCCAAGCGACGAUCCGAAGCGGGUCUGAGAGGAUGAUACGCCACACUGGAAGGGAAACACGGUACAGACUCCUACGGGAGGGAGCAGAGGGGAAUGGUGGACAAGGGGCGGGAGCCUGAUCCAGCCAUACCGCGUGGGUGGAGAAGGCCUUCGGGUUGUAAAGCUCUUUUGUUGGGAAAGAAAAGCAGCAGGGUGAUACCCCGCGGUUCUGACGGUACCCAAAGAAUAAGCACCGGCUAACUUCGUG
rnacentral:rRNA from 1 species